AAUGAACGUUGGCGGCGUGGAUUAGGCAUGCAAGUCGAGCGCGAAUCGUAGCAAUACGAGGAGAGCGGCGAAAGGGAGAGGCAUACGUGGAUACCUACCCUCAGGUUCAGGAUAGCUGUGGGAAACUAAAGGUAAUACUGAAUAAUAUCUCCGGAUCAAAGGUGUGAUUCCACCUGAGGAGGGGUCCGCGUCCUAUUAGCUUGUUGGCGAGGUAACGGCUCACCAAGGCGAAGAUGGGUAUGGGAUGUGAGAGCAUGAUCCCACUCACUGGGACUGAGACACUGCCCAGACACCUACGGGUGGCUGCAGUCGAGAAUCUUCGGCAAUGGGGGAAACCCUGACCGAGCGACGCCGCGUGCGAGAUGAAGGCCUUCGGGUUGUAAAUCGCUGUCAGAGGGGAGGAAAUGCUAGUGGGUUAUCCCAUUAGCUUGACCUAGCCUCAGAGGAAGGACGGGCUAAGUUCGUGCCAGCCGCCGCAGUAAAAC
rnacentral:rRNA from 1 species